rnacentral:rRNA from 1 species
GAUGAACGCUGGCGGCGUGCCUAAUACAUGCAAGUCGAGCGAACGGACGAGAAGCUUGCUUCUCUGAUGUUAGCGGCGGACGGGUAAGUAACACGUGGAUAACCUACCUAUAAGACUGGGAUAACUUCGGGAAACCGGAGCUAAUACCGGAUAAUAUUUUGAACCGCAUGGUUCAAAAGUGAAAGACGGUCUUGCUGUCACUUAUAGAUGGAUCCGCGCUGCAUUAGCUAGUUGGUAAGGUAACGGCUUACCAAGGCAACGAUGCAUAGCCGACCUGAGAGGGUGAUCGGCCACACUGGAACUGAGACACGGUCCAGACUCCUACGGGAGGCAGCAGUAGGGAAUCUUCCGCAAUGGGCGAAGGCCUGACGGAGCAACGCCGCGUGAGUGAUGAAGGUCUUCGGAUCGUAAAACUCUGUUAUUAGGGAAGAACAUAUGUGUAAGUAACUGUGCACAUCUUGACGGUACCUAAUCAGAAAGCCACGGCUAACUACAUG